CCUGCCCACUGAAUUUUUAAAGGGCCGCAGUAUUUUGACUGUGCAAAGGUAGCAUAAUCAUUAGUUUCUUAAUUAGGGACUGGAAUGAAUGGUUGGACGAGAAAAUAUCUGUCUCUUUAUAAAUUAAUUAGAAUUUAAUUUUUAAGUUAAAAAGCUUAAAUUAAAUUAAAAGACGAGAAGACCCUAUAGAGUUUUAUAUACUUAUACUUAAUAAUUUAAAUUGAAUAUUAGGAAUUUUAUAUGUAAAUAUAUUUGAUUGGGGUGAUUGAAAAAUUUAUAUUACUUUUUUUUUACAAAAACAUUAAUUUAUGAGUUAUUGAUCCAUAGUAAUGAUUAAAAGAUUUAAUUACCUUAGGGAUAACAGCGUUAUUUCUUUUAAGAGUUCUGAUCGAUAAAGAAGUUUGCGACCUCGAUGUUGGAUUAAAAUUUAAUUUUGGUGUAGAAGCUAAAAAAUUAGGUCUGUUCGACCUUUAAAAUUUUACAUGAUCUGAGUUUAAACCGGUGUGAGCCAGGUUGGUUUCUAUCUUUAAUAAAUUUUAUAAUGUUUUAGUACGAAAGGACCAAGCAUUAAUAAAAGUUAU
rnacentral:rRNA from 1 species